UACGAAGGGGGCUAGCGUUUGUUCGGGAAUUACUGGGCGUAAAGCGCACGUAGGCGGAUAUUUAAGUCAGGGGUGAAAUCCCAGAGCUCAACUCUGGAACUGCCUUUGAUACUGGGUAUCUCGAGUCCGAGAGAAGGUGAGUGGAAUUCCGAGUGUAGAGGUGAAAUUCGUAGAUAUUCGCAAGAACACCAGUGGCGAAGGCGGCUCACUGGCCCGAUACUGACGCUGAGGCACGAAAGCGUGGGGAGCAAACAGG
rnacentral:rRNA from 1 species